rnacentral:lncRNA from 10 species
UUGAAAAAUCAUACAUGUACUUUCUCUUUAUAGAUGGAAUAGAAACUGAUAUUGUUAUAUUGUGCAAAAACAAAAACAAAAACAAUGAUUUCUUCUUUUCCUCAUUUUGCUGUUCUACACCUGUUCAAUAGCAUUCCUUGCUAUUUUUUUCCUGCUUCUAGAAUUGAUCUGGAAGGAUGUGCACUUGUCAGAAACAGCACUUCAUUUUAUUCCCUUGUUUAUGAGGGACAUAAACUAGCUCACUGUAUUCAGAAGAAAACUAAGUUUCAUGGAGGAAAAUGGAAUAUCAAAUCGCUACUUCCCAGCGAAGUCCUGCAGGAGGAGAAGAAGGAGUGGGGGGAGAGUGGGCUGCAGGAAAGGAAGGCUUCUCAGUGAAGGGGAUACUUGGAGGAGGAUUUGUGGAGAGAACUGGGGAGAGAACAUCUCAAGUUCAGCUGAAGAGCAAGACCAGCAAGAAAAGAGAGAAAGACAACAAGACGCAGAGACCCAUCCAAGGAUAACAUAAGAGUCUGUGGACUUUUCCCAGUUGCAGUGCGGUCUUACACUUCCUCUCCCCUUGGGCACAAAAAACAAGUGCUUGGUCUAAUGUCAAUGGGCAAAUGGGUGGAGAUAAGGCCAGGCUAGGGAGCUGCUGGAAAUUUGUGAUAGGGAAAUGAUUUUUCUUUCUUCUUUUUUUUUUUUUUUUUUUUUUUUUCUGGUAUUUUUAGUAGAGACAGGGUUUCUUGUUAGCCAGGAUGGUCUGGAUCGCAUGACCUCGUGAUCCACCCGCCUCGGCCUCCCAAAGUGCUGGGAUG